GCCCCCGUAGCUCAGUCGGUCAGAGCGUGGUACUUAUAUGCUGGAAAGCUGUGCAAAACUUGGCUUACACUGCUAAGAUAUGCCAAGGUCGCGGGUUCGAGCCCCGCUGGAGGCA
rfam:chromosome IV of strain GB-M1 of Encephalitozoon cuniculi (Microspora)